AUAUUCACAUAGUGGCCUCUUUAGUGAACACCUUGUUCCUGCACUGUGAAGACUAGCACGGGUCCUUGUAUAUCGUGUUAGAUAGGUAAACUGUCAGUAAGCAGAAGAAAUCAGUAAUCACAGCAAUUCCGUGUAUUAUUGGCGCUUUAAAGAUCAUAAAGGGGACAGGAAAUAGUUGUGAUGGGGAUUGUCGUAUGUGAUGUUACCCCCAAAGGUUUCAGAAGUUAGCAUGUGAUCUGAGUCCUGAAUGGCAAAUAGAAGCAAGACCAUGCACAAACCAAGUUGUGGGCCUGCUUGCUUCCAUGGAGAACAGUGGAUCUAAGAGCAGAGAACAAGGCUAGUUGCCAGAACCUUGAAGACAACGUGGACACUGCUUGGGGAUAGGACAGAAAGGAAAAUGUUGUCAUUGUCAGCUGUGUAUGACAUUUGGAUUAUAUGAUCUGUGUGGAAGGGUCUGGGUCAUUGGCUGUGCACACACAUCCACAGACAGUACAACAACAGCCUCUAGUCCCUUGUUGCUGACCUUUGGGAAGCUGGGCAUGUAAGGCCAUACAUGAUCUACAGUGUUCUUGUAGAGGUCAGAGGACAACUUGCAGGAGUCAUUUCUCUGCUUCCACAAUGUGGGUCCUGGGGAUCCAACUGAAGUCAUCAGAAGCAGUACUCGGGCUUCUAUUACACUUUAAUACGAUCUACAUAUAAGAACAGGGGAGAAAACAGUGAACUUUCCAUGCAGAACCAACUCCUGGAGAAGAACCAAAAGUGGUGUGGUCUGUUCAGCCUGUUACCUGAGCAACAGUGACAAGAUCAUGUGGGACUCACCAGGUCAGUCAUUUCCUUUUCUCUUCCCAUCCGUGUGACCAGCAGCUGGUCUGUGAUGCCUUGUAGGAACACAUCCUGUUGAGCAGGUAGCAGCAAGAGCAG